rnacentral:rRNA from 1 species
AUUGAACGCUGGCGGCAGGCCUAACACAUGCAAGUCGAACGAGUGGCGGACGGGUGAGUAAUGUCUGGGAAACUGCCCCAUGGAUGGGGAUAACUACUGGAAACGGUAGCUAAUACCGCAUACCAUCGGAUGUGCCCAGAUGGGAUUAGCUAGUAGGUGGGGUAACGGCGCACCUAGGCGACGAUCCCUAGCUGGUCUGAGAGGAUGACCAGCCACACUGGAACUGAGACACGGUCCAGACUCCGACGGGAGGCAGCAGUGGGGAAUAUUGGACAAUGGGCGCAAGUCUGAUGCAGCAAUGCCGCGUGUAUGAAGAAGGCCUUCGGGUUGUAAAGUACUUUCAGUGAGGAGGCGUUACUCGCAGAAGAAGCACCGGCUAACUCCGUGCCAGCAGCCGCGGUAAUUC